CCCCCCGCUGCGGCGCCCACCCCACCCCGGGCGCCAGAAGGCCAGGCCGCCACCUCCCACCUCGCAAAACUCCCACUCCGGGGUGUCCUGCGGCGAGCAGCACCUGUCAGCGAGGACGCUCCGGAGGGAAGGCAGACCCGCGGUUACACCGACGGGCGAUUGCAAGCGCCGGGCCCUUGGGGGGUGCGGGGUGGGCACUUCCGCCUGCGGCCCUGGCGCUGCGGGCUCCCACCCGCGUGGCGCCCUGCGCCCGGGACUGCGGCCCCUCGGCGGCCCUGGGCGGACCAGCCGAGACGGCGCCGCGGUCUCCGAGCGCGACCAGCGCCACCUGCCGGACGUCGCCCGGAGCGGGGGAAGGGGGCCCAUAAGGGAAGCGCAGGAGGGGCCGCUGAUGACGGGGCUCAGCCCUUCACCUUUGUUUCCUGAUGAUCUCAAUCCCUGGAUGUCACACCGGAAACUGCAGAGCAUGCUGCUCCCUCUUUUGUGGAGCCCUGGGCCUGUGCUAUCAUGAGAGAGGCGUAGGAAGAGCGGUGAUAGAAUUUAUUUUGAAAGCUGCCUCUGCUUCCUCUGUGGGAUGUGAAUCGAGCGUGCACACGGCUGAAGGUGGGAAACCAGGAGACUGCGGUGGUCGUGCAGGGGACAGAUGACCUGGCAGCGUCCUGUAGCAGAACGGCACACUGAAGACAUCGUCCAGGGGGUGACCCCAGGAGUCUUGCAAAUGUUGUGGGAAUGCUGACAGCUGCCCUCCGUGACGAAACCGGGGCUGCUCUGUGCUGUCCUGUCUCUCUGUCUGCAGAGGGGAAGAAAAUGCAGCUACACAGGCUCUGAAUGCACAAGCUGGCUGCGUCUCACCUGGGAGGGCUGAGGUGACUCGGGGGGGCGGGGGGGGGGGCACGUGGGGAGGUUCACUGCAACUCCGACUUCUCCCGGAGCCCGCCAGGCCCCGCGUACCACCUCUGCCUACAGAGCACCUGGCACCAGGGAGAAACAUGGUGUCAUUUGGGCAAGAUAACAUCUCAGAGCCUCAGUGCUCUGGCCCAGCCCUGUCAAGAGGGGUCCGACCAGGCUUUAGUCUCUCCCUGCCCCAGGGCCAUGGUCCUUUGCUUCCCAAGCCUCUCUGAGCCAGUAGUUAUUUAGGGAGCUUUAAAAAAUAUUAGAAAAAAAUUAUUUAAAAGCAUUUGAUUUCUAACAAGUCUAGCUCUAUAAGUGGCUGCAGGAAAUAGGCAUUUCCUUUUUUUAAUUAUUAUUAUGUUAAUCACCAUACAUUACAUCAUUCCUUUUUUUUUUUUAAGAUUUUAUUUGUUUAUUUGUCGGGGGCGGGGAGAGAGAAAAAGAGCUGGAGAGCACAAACAGGAGGAGCAGAAGAGGGAGAGGGAGAAGCAAGCUCCCCGCUGAGCAGGGAGCCCAAUGCGGGGCUCCAUCCCAGGACCCUGGGAUCAUGACCUGAGCCAAAGGCAGACACUUAACUGACUGAGCCACCCAGGUGUCCCCAGGCAUUUCCUUCUGGGACUAUAAGUCGAGGUGACCUUCUUUAGGGGUGAAUACUGUUUUUUAAAACCACAAAUCUCAGAGUUGACUCUGGCAGGUUGAAUGUCUACAGACACGUCCCCCAGAAACAGAUGACCUGUCUCUUACCCCAAAUAAGAGUCCCUUCUGGGUGAGACACAACAGCAAUCAAAGUUGAAGAAGUGACAGAUGUCCAUGAAGUCCCCUUAGUGGAGGAGCUAGUUCCAAUGGACAAGGUUGGGGUUGGCAUCCUUCUAAGAGGGAGACCAGGCUGGGUAUUUUGCUGGAAGUGGACCUGUUGGAUUUCCUGGCUACCUCUCUGCUUGGCAACCCUGGACAACCCCAAGUCUAUGGGCCCUGAGCCACAGGUGGGUCUGCAGGAAGAUUCUAGUGCAGUAGCUUUGUAGGCCUGGGUGGGGAAGGGGAGAAAAGCCGAGAUGUGCAGGAAGACUUAUGCCCUGAACGUGUUUCUGAGAGCUAGGAAAUAGUGCCCAGGUGAGAGUGGCCCCCUCUGCAGAGUCACUGUUGAAGGUGAUGGGAAGAAAGGCCCAGAAGGAGCACGGGGAGAGCCAUGUCUCACCACCAAGACUUCUCUGUUAGGUCUCGGGCCCUGGCAGCUUGGCCUUCUCUCUUAUCCCUGUGCCUGCUACCCUGAUUCCUGCCUCUUAGUUGUGGCCUCUUAAUUCUAGUCUCGAGGGACCCUUGCACAUCCCCAUGACUGCCCUUGUCCCUCCAUUUAUGGAAGCCUCUCUCCCGGACUUCCCCACCACCACCCCCAAGCUGCUUUCUGACAGCCUGCUGCUUCCCCAAAGCCCCAGGGCUCUCCAGAUACUGUGAGCACUGUGUGGGGAGCACCUCCUGCAGACUCCUGGCCCCCCUCCCACGAAGUCUCACACAGGCUGCAUGGCCUGGAGUUUCCAUAAUGAUGGUCACAAGUCUAAGAUUCUAAGCUGAAACUGCCACAAGCUGCUUCAGUAAGACAAUGAUGGGGAAGAAGAAUGUGGGAAAGGAGUCCCAAGGUGAAGUGGGUGAGGGGUGGGGGUGGGGCAGGAAGGCAAGCCUGAGGUCCAUCUUUUCUCUGAAAUGACUUUUAUACCCUUUCAUUGCUCCCCCUAACCUCCCAACGCCUCCCCUCCCCUCCGUCUCAGCUGCUACACUGCUUCCUGUUUAACCAAGUAAACAGAUAAACUACCCCCCGGGUUGUAUCAAUAGCCAUUCCACUUAAGCACUGGACCCUACCCUACUUCCUAGUCAAGGACAUCCCUCCUGCAAUUGACCCCUAUCCACCUGCAUGCACCAUUAGCUCCCUCGCUGGAGGGUCAUUUUCAAGCAAGUAAAACCAUGCCGAGAAAGUCAACACUUAAAAAUCAGCCCUACUGGGGCGCCUGGGUGGCUCAGUCGUUAAGCGUCUGCCUUCGGCUCAGGUCAUGAUCCCAGGGUCCUGGGAUCGAGCCCUGCAUCAGGCUCCCUGCUCAGUGGGGAGUCUGCUUCUCCCUCUCCCACUCCCCCUGCUUGUGUUCCCUCUCUCGCUGUGUCUCUCUCUGUCAAAUAAAUAAAUUUUAAAAAAAAUCUUUAAAAAAAAUAAAUAAAAAUCAGCCCUACUGAGGUAUAAUUUGUGUAUAAAAUGCACCCAUGAUAAGUGUAAAGUUAGAUGAGCUUUGACAAAUAUAGACGCCCAUGUAACCACCAUCACUACCACCAUCACCACCAUGGUCAAGUUCCAAACCAUCACCAUCACCCCCAAAAGCUAUCCCGUGGCUGAGCAGCGUCCCCUUGUAUGGAUACAGCACGAUUCGUUCACACAUUGGCCUGUUGACGUGCAACUGGGCUGUUUCUACUGUGGGGCUACUAUGAAUAAAAAGUCUUUGUGUGGAAACACGAAUCGCUGGGCCAUAUGAUAACGUACGUUUGGGUUUACUAGAAACUUCCAAACUGUUUUCCACCAUGGUUGGAACAUUUGGCAUUUCCAUAGCAGCCCAUGAAAGUUCCAGAUGCUGUCCUUAGGACUGCUGGGGUCCCCCUCCGCCUCAAUUUAGCCACUCGUAUACGCGGGCAGGGGUACUCUCAUUUUGUUGGCAAUGUAUUUUUCCCUGGUGAUGGCUGUUGCUGACCACCUUUUCAAGUACCUGCUGGCUAUUCACAUGUCUUCUUUCGUGAAGUGUAUGUUCAUCAUUUGGCCUAUCAUGUUCGCUUUCUACAGGUCACCACAAGUUUGUCAGAUUAAACUGAAAAAAGAAAGUAUGUUUAUUGUCUCACAGUUAGUGUGAGUCAGGCACAGCUGAGCUGGGUCUUCCCUUCUGGUCUCACAGGCUGCCGUGAAGAUGUUGGGCAGCACUGGGGUCCCACCUGGGGCCCAGGUCUCCUUCCAAGCACGCGUGGUUGUUGACACAAUGCAUUUCCCUGCAGCUGUUGAACUCAUGGUGCUUUGCUCCGAGGCCAACGGGAAAGUUUUGCUGCUGCCUUGUGAGCCUCAUUUAAAGGUUCACCUGAUUAUCUCAGGCCCACCUGAGAUAAUCUCCCUUUUGAUUGGCCUCAAUUACAUCUGUCAAAAUGCCUUUGUAUAAUAUGAUGUAACUUAAUCACGGGAAUGACAUCCUUAAUAUCCACAGAUCCCACCCAUAUUCAAGGAAGAGAUGAUUAUACAAGGGCAUGGUCCUUGGGGUCAUCAUAGAAUCCUCCUUACCUCACCCAUUUUUCAUUGGUUGGUUUGUCUCCUUAUUGAGUUAUGAGUAUAAAUUUUGGGUACAAGCCCUAUGCCGAUCUGUGUAUUGCAAAUAUUUUCUCCCAGUCCCUGAGUUCGCCUUCUUGUUUUUUUAAGAUUUAUUUAUUUAUUGGGGUGGGGUAGCGGGAAAGGGAGAGAGAAUCUCAAGCAGACUCCACACUGAACGUAGAACCCAAUGUAGGGUUUGAUCUCAGGAGACUGAGAUCAUGGCCUGAGCCAAAACCAAGAGUUGGAGUCUUAACUGACUGAGCCACCCAGGUGCCCUGCCUUCUCAUUUAAUGUUUUUGGUAGAACAGAAAUUUUUAAUUUUGAUGAAGCCUAACUGUCAACUUUUAUAGUUCAUGCUUUUUAUUCCUCCACAAGAAAUCUUUGCUUACCCAAAAGUAUUUUCUCCUGUUUUAGAAGUUUUAUGGUUUUAACUCUUAUAUUUAGUUCUGUGACUCACUCUAAGUCAACUUUUGUGUGAUGUGAGUUAUGAGUUGAGAUUCACAGAGCGCGUGGGUGGCGCAGUCAGUUAAGCGUCUGACCUCUUGGUUUCGGCUCACGUCAUGAUCUCGGGGUCGUGGGAUUGAGCCCUGGGUCGGGCUCUGUGCUCAGCACAGAAUCUGCUUGAGAGUCUCUCUCCCUCCCCCUCUGCCCCUCUUGCUCAUGCUCUGUCUCUCUCUAAAAUAAAUCUUAAAAAGAAAAAGAGUUGAGAUCCACUUUUUCCAAGCAGAUAUAUCAUUUCGCCAGCAGUAUCUUCUGAAAACACCAUUUCCCCCAUUGAAUUACUUUGGUACUUUAACUGAAAAUUAAGUGUGUGUGUGUGUGUGCAGUGUAUUAUAUGUAUAAUAGAUAUAUAUUAUAUACACAAUAUCUUUCUAGACUAUUUCAUUGAUUUCUAUUUCUAUACAGUAAUCUCUUGGAUUACUAUAUAUUUACUUUAAGUCCUAAAAUUGGGCAGAUUAUGUCCCUCAGCUUUGUUCCUUUCCACAAUUUUUUGGCUAUUCUAUGACCUUUGAAUUUGUAUAUAAGUUUCAGCUUGCCAACUUCUAAAAAAAAAACAAAAACAAAAAUAACCCUGCUAGGAUUUUGACUGGAAUCACAUCAAAUAUGUAACUCAACUUGGGGAGGAAUGCCAUCUAACAAUAUUGAGCCUCCCAUUCAUAAACCCUGGUAUAUAUUGCCAUUUAUUUCCUCUCAGCAUUUUUAGAGUUUUCCAUGUACAUGUUUUGCAUAUAAUUAAAGAUUUCCCUGAAUAUAUGUCAUAUUGUAGAUGCUAUUAUAAAUGGUAUUUUUACAUGUCCUUUUCCACUUGUUCAUCACUAGUGUAUAAAAGUCAAAUUGAGGGGCGCCUGGGUGGCUCAGUCGUUAAGCGUCUGCCUUCGGCUCAGGUCAUGGUCCCAGUGUCCUGAUCGAGCCCCGCAUCGGGCUCCCUGCUCAGAGGGGAGCCUGCUUCUCCCUCUCCCACUCCCCCUGCUUAUGUUCCCUCUCUUGCUGUGUCUCUCUGUCAAAUAAAUAAAUAAAAUCUUUAAAAAAAAAAAAGUCAAAUCGAUUUUUGUAUAUUGACCCUGUAUUUUGUGACUUAGCUAAAUUCACUUA